GAUGAACGCUAGCGAUAGGCUUAACACAUGCAAGUCGAGGGGCAGCAUUAUUUUAGCUUGCUAAGAUAGAUGGCGACCGGCGCACGGGUGCGUAACGCGUAUGCAACCUGCCUGUAAUUAGGGAAUAACCCGGUGAAAGUCGGACUAAUACCCUAUAUUCUUCUUUCUCCGCAUGGGGGAGGACGGAAAGAUUUAUUGAUUACAGAUGGGCAUGCGUCCCAUUAGCUGGUUGGUAAGGUAACGGCUUACCAAGGCAACGAUGGGUAGGGGGACUGAGAGGUUGACCCCCCACACUGGUACUGAGACACGGACCAGACUCCUACGGGAGGCAGCAGUGAGGAAUAUUGGUCAAUGGGCGAGAGCCUGAACCAGCCAAGUCGCGUGAAGGACGACGGUUCUAUGGAUUGUAAACUUCUUUUGUAGAGGAA
rnacentral:rRNA from 1 species